rnacentral:rRNA from 1 species
UACGGAGGGGGCUAGCGUUGUUCGGAAUUACUGGGCGUAAAGCGCACGUAGGCGGAUCAGUCAGUUAGAGGUGAAAGCCCAGGGCUCAACCCUGGAACUGCCUUUAAUACUGCUGGUCUGGAGUCCGAGAGAGGUGAGUGGAAUUCCGAGUGUAGAGGUGAAAUUCGUAGAUAUUCGGAGGAACACCAGUGACGAAGGCGGCUCACUGGCUCGGUACUGACGCUGAGGUGCGAAAGCGUGGGGAGCAAACAGG